rnacentral:rRNA from 1 species
UACGGAGGGGGCAAGCGUUAUUCGGAAUUAUUGGGCGUAAAGGGCGCGUAGGCGGCUAGAUGUGUCAAAGGUGAAAUCCCUAGGCUCAACUGAGGAACUGCCUUUGAAACUGUCUGGCUUGAGGCCGGGAGAGGGUAGCGGAAUUCCCAGUGUAGCGGUGAAAUGCGUAGAUAUUGGGAGGAACACCAGUGGCGAAGGCGGCUACCUGGACCGGCUCUGACGCUGAGGCGCGAAAGCGUGGGGAGCAAACAGG